rnacentral:rRNA from 1 species
CCUACGGGGGGCAGCAGUGAGGAAUAUUGGUCAAUGGGCGGGAGCCUGAACCAGCCAAGUCGCGUGAGGGAAGACGGUCCUAUGUAUUGUAAACCUCUUUAGGCAGGGAGCAAUGCCUGGCACGCGUGCCCGGAGGGAGAGUACCCGCAGAAUAAGCAUCGGCUAACUCCGUGCCACCAGCCGCGGUAAUACGGAGGAUGCGAGCGUUAUCCGGAUUUAUUGGGUUUAAAGGGUGCGUAGGCGGAUUUUUAAGUCAGCGGUAAAAGUUGCGGGCUCAACCCGGGCCGGCCGUUGAAACUGGGGAUCUUGAGUGGGCGAGAAGUAUGCGGAAUGCGUGGUGUAGCGGUGAAAUGCAUAGAUAUCACGCAGAACUCCGAUUGCGAAGGCAGCAUACCGGCGCCCGACUGACGCUGAGGCACGAAAGCGUGGGGAUCGAACAGGAUUAGAUACCCCGGUAGUC